rnacentral:rRNA from 1 species
CCUAUUGUUACUUGCUACGCAAGAGCACUCUAGCGAGACUGCCGUUGACAAAACGGAGGAAGGUGGGGACGACGUCAAAUCAUCAUGCCCCUUAUGUCCUGGGCUACACACGUAAUACAAUGGCGGUCAACAGAGGGAUGCAAAACCGCAAGGUGGAGCGAACCCCUAAAAGCCGUCCCAGUUCAGAUUGUGGGCUGCAACCCGCCCACAUGAAGUCGGAAUCGCUAGUAAUCGCGGAUCAGCAUGCCGCGGUGAAUACGUUCCCGGGCCUUGUACACACCGCCCGUCACACCAUGAGAGUCGGGAACACCCGAAGUCCGUAGCCUAACCAGUAAUGGAGGGCGCGGCC